GAGUGCAACAGCUGAUCCCUUUCGGAGUGGAGUUUCCUAGCUGGUGCCUGUCCUCUCUUGAGCCUUUGUUUCUUGAGUGAGCACUCACUGGGGCUGUGGCUCCAUGAACUGGAUUUCAGGAAACCAGCCAAGGCAUUCUCUCUCUCUCUCCAUUCCUAGAAAGGCAGAAAGCCUGGGAAUGGGUUCGGCAGGAAGAUCUCUGUACCUCAAUCUCCAUUGCUUUCAGCACCACUGGCUUUCUCCCCAGCUCAAGUGCAAAACCUGCCAUCGUUGCUACCUGGGGUGCCUCAGACUCACCCAAGUCCCCCAGGCCAGAGGACAUGCUCUCAAGCCUUGUUUCAGAAAGAGGGACCCAAAGGCUGUUAGGGAAGAGAACCAGGGUCCUCAAACCCAGGGUUUUCUCACCCACUGCCUCUGCUCUGGCUGUGGCCUGCCAGACCUCUCCUCUGAUUUUCGCUUUCCUUCCUGCCAGUGCCUUUGUUUAUCCGAGGCGCCAAGAUCCCACUGUGAAGUCUGAAAGGAAGACCAGUGGUUCUCGCUUUUCCUCUAGAUGCUGUGUCUCCCAAUGUCAUCUUCUUUCCUCUCAAAGACAAUUGGACGUUGUUACAGAUUUUCUUGGAAUGAGUAAAUACCUAGCAGUGGGAUUGCUGGAUCAUAUGAAAAUGCCAGACUAUAUUUCAUCAGCAACAUCGGAGAGUUCCAGUUGCUCUACACCCUCACUAGCACUUAAUAUUGUUGAUCGCUGCCUGGAUUCACAGAAGGACAAAUUACAAUGCAUUUUGAAAGACUCGUCUACAGUCAACUAAAAUACCAGUUAUCACAGACUUCACUGGCCUUAAUGAGGAGGCUGAGAGGGAUUUAAUUACUGGGACAUGCAACGCUUACACCAAACUCUGUUCGAUUCACGACUUGGAAAAGCAAAUGUGGAUACAGAUGAGUGUGGACAUGGCUUCAGUAGGAAAUGUCGAGUUUGUUCAUCACUCUGAAGUUUCUUCAGCUGCAACGGAAACUGCACCCUCCCUCCCGACUUGUUGGUUAUCUUGCUGUGCUCCCAAGAAGGUAUUUUCUGCUGACCUGAUAGAUCAGGUAAGAGAAUAGCAAUGUGUCUUUUGUCAUCUGCCUCCAGUUCCCUGGCUGCCUGCAUUGCUGUGUUUGUUAUCUGUGGAUUGAAGGUGACACCACUCUCAAGGAGGGUGAAGGCAGAGGUGUAUGCACAGCUAGUACCAGUAACACCCCUAGAGUGAGCCAAGAGAAGAUGAGGUAAGGAGGAAAGGGAGACUUAGUCAUGGGCCUAGGAAAAAGCGUGGGGGGUUACCUAUGUAGAAGGUAUGGAUGGUGAAGCUGGAUCUCUUUUUACCUGUGGUGAGCACACCAUACCGGACAACCCAGGGCCUACAUUAUAGAGGGUGCACUCUGCACAUGCAAUGCAUUUUGUCAACAGAAAGCUCUGUGUAAAAGUCUUAAAGCAACUCUUUAGAAAUCCUGUUUCAUUAUUAAUUUAGAAGGAUUCAAAUAGGAAAUGUGGCAACAGCUGUAAUGGGUAUUAAAAGCCCCCACUGGCAGUGCUGGGUCUUAGCUGCCUCCAGUGGUGAUCCUCUUCAAAUAAGGAAUCUUGAGCCAAAAAUCCACCCUUCCUGUUAAAUAAGUGUUCAUACUCAUUAUUUUAUUAUAAAAGUCAUAAUAGCUUGAUUGUGCCUCAAUCUAAAAUACUGAUAAUAAUAACAGUAAUAAUGUUUGCCUUCGUGAUGUUGUUGUGGAGAAGAAACAAGUUAAUAUAGAUAAAGUACUUAACAUAGUAUCAGGCCAACAUAGGAUCAUAGCAAGAGGAAGCAUUCAAUAAUUAGUUGUGGUUGGGUUAUCAUUAUUGUUGUUGCUAUUGUUGUUAUUAUGACACUAACAUCUACAACUUUCUGUAUUUCAUCUGUCAACAAAUAUUUCAAUAUCAAAUCUGAUCCUGCUCCUUGACUCAGACCUUUGUCAUUUUGAUUGAAAAGAUGUUUACCUGUUGGUCCCCAGCCUCACUCUUCUGAACCUCAGAUCCACUGAGUGUGUAUCCAGAGGUAAGUAUGUGGUAAGUAUGCUUGUCAUUUACAUUAUCUGUCAGCAUGAGUAUUGGUUUCCUAGAAACCUAAUAUUGAAAACACUUAGCAUUGCUAAAAGCAUUAAAUGAAAUAAAGACUCAAUAUAGCUGCACUAAUCUGUGCUUUCUAAAUUUACUGAUGGACGUGAAGAAAGUAGGUUGGCAUGGAGUUUAUACAAUUUAUGGAUCACACUGAUCUGAAUUCAGACAGUGUGUGCUCAGAUAAAAAUAUUGUUUCCUCCCAUGAGGUUUCCAAUUUUGCAGAGAAGAAUACCUCUGUUUAGCUCAUUACUUAACACAAUGGGUAGCUGGGUGGCCUUGCAUUCUGGAAGUGAAAUGACACAAGAAUGUCUCCACUGCAUUCUCCAGAGGUAAAGAUUCUCUGGCACAAAAUCACAACCAAGGUGGGGUUCCAAAACUAUAGAACAAAUGGCAGCAGCCAUGCAGCCAGCCUUGGUUCGGGUGGGCUGUAAAAGCAGAGGUUGUCCUCGUGUUAUCAGCACUGACUUCCUGUUGUGGCCACACUGACAGAGAUGAGAUGGCAGAAAGCAGGAAAGAGACCAGAGCUGCAAUUGACAGAUGGCUGGCCAAAGUUGAAGGGUCAGAGACUACACCAAAGACUUCUCAGAAAAUACUUGCCUAGGAGGCUCUCACUUGGAAAGAUAUUCAGGGUUGUUAAACAUAUCCUGUUAUUAGGAAAACGAGAGUUUUAUCUUUCUCUUACUCAGAAAGAAAAAACAAAAAGAAAAUUAGUGCUCUUAAGAAAAGCUAUUUUAAUGUUAUCCAUUAUAAAAUUAGAAAACCUUGAAAGGCAAAUGUUUCUUCUGACCAUUUACACUGAGCUUCUUUCAUUAUCUCAUAUGCAACCUUGUGGAUUGAAGGUGGAGAGUCCUUAGGAUUACCCAGGAACAUCCCUGUCUGCUCCCCCUGCUAGGCAGGAGGAGAUUUGAAACCACAUGUGUCUACUUCAUUUCUGUCACGGGUAGGACAGUGUCAUAUACUUUGUAGGUAACUCAAAGAUAUUAUAGGUAACUCAUAGAUAUUGAUUGAAUUAAUGUUUAAUAAAAUGAGAACACCAGCUCUGCUGUUAUCAUCAUCCUCAUUUCGAUUCGCUGAACUCUGCACCAAGGCCAAAUACAUUAUACUUUAGGCUUUGUUAAAGCCAUCUAUGUAAAGCUGGCUGAAGUCGAACUGUACAGUAAACAAGAGAUGGUAAUAGUCUCUGCAUGUGUUAUUUCUUUCAACUCCAAACCUCAAAGCAUUUUAGGAAGAAAUACUAUUUCAUCUUUAAAAAAAAAUAGAAAAAAGAAACUUCUGAAAAAUUAAUGCAAUCUAAAUAAUAGUCAUUAAAAAGUAAAUUAUGGUAAAAUGGCAUACUAUGCAGUCAUUAAAGAGACGAUGUUGCUCUAUACUUAUUUACAUAGAACAUUAUCCUUGGGAAAAAAACUUAUUUAAAAAAUAGAAACAGUUUAAAAUAUGUUUAAUAUAAUGCCUUUCGUAAAAAAAAAUGUAUGGGUAUAUGUGUAAAAAUGUGUAUGGGUGUGUGUGUGUUUGUAAAUAGGAAAUAAUUGGAAGAUAUUCAACACAAGUUUCCAUGGAUGAGAUGGGAGGCAGAUGAUAAGUGAUAUUUGUUUCUAUAUUGUAUGUAUUACUACAUUUUCUGUUUUUAUAGUAAUGAAAAAGUAUUAGUUUACAUUCUGAAAUAAAUGUAACUAGCUUAAAAUAAUAUGUAGCAGCAAUCUUAAAAAAUUUUUAUUUACUAAAAAUCUCAUCAUCCAAUAAUUAUUUAAAUACCUUUUCAUACUAUCUGUAUAAGUUAGCUAAUGUUUUAUAACAAAGCCUUGAAGUAGUAAUUUAUUAUUAUGGCCCAUGAAUCUGUGGGACACCUGAGGACUAAGUAUUGACUGACUUAGGUUGAGCUUCACUGACAUUAUAGACUGAAUUAUGGCCUUCAAAAUUCAUAUGUUGAAAUCCAAAUCCCCAGUACCUCAGAAUGUGAUUGUAUUCAGAGAUGGGGUCUUUAAAGAGGUAAUUAAGGUAAAGUGAGGUCAUAAGGGUGGGUUCUAAUCCAAUAAGAUUGGUAUCCUUAUAAAAAGAGGAGAUUUGGACACAAACCUGAGCAUAGAGAAAACACCAUGUGAACAUAAAGACAGCCAUCUACAAGGCACAGAGAGAGGCCUCAGAAGAAAUCAGACCUGCUGACACCUUGAUCUUAGAUCUCCAGCCUGCAGAACUGUUAGGAAAUAAAUGUCUGUUGUUUUAAUUUACAUAGUCUCUGAUACUUUGUUAUGGCAGCCCUAGCAAACUCACAAGCUGCUAUCAACUGGGGUCACAUUAUAGGUUGACUAGGAGACCUGCUCUAAGCUAGAUCUGUGUAGGGUACUUUAGCUGGGGGAACUCAUCUCCAAAUGUCUAAAUUUCUUCUUCAAGCACCUGUGAACUUCAAGCUCUGGCAUAUCCUUCUCAUGGAUGGCAAGAACACAAGAGAGAAAGUGGAAACAUGCAAAAUUUCUUGAGACCUAAUCUUGGAGCUAGCACACUGUCACUUCUGUCUCAUUCUGUUGGUUUAAGCAAUUCACAUGACUAAGCCUAAGAUAGAGAAUUAUGCUGUGUCUACUAUGGGAAAGCAUUGCAAAGUGGCAUGGUAAAGAGUGUAGAUGCCGGGGAGGGAGAGUAGGGCAGAGCAAUCAGGGCCAAUGAUAUAAUCUACCAUGAUACCUUAGUGUUCACAUAUCUGUUUAUAUUGCAGCAUUCUUAGUCCACAUACUGUAACUAUAUAUUUCCAAUUUCACUCAAUAUUUAAUCUUAUAUCACAUUUUUAACAUAAUUCAUUUUUUAUUUUAUCGAAUGCAUAAUAUAUAUAUUAAUUGAGACUUCAGAGGUACAUGGUCAAUUGCACAGUAGGAUAGUGAGGAACUAGAAUAAGGAAAAUCACAUUGAAAAUUUGUUCCAAAAAAUUAGUCAGUAAAAUUAGCACAUAAAUAAACCAAUAUAAAAGUUUAAUUCAAAUGGAAAAUUUCAUAACAGCACAGUAUAGUGUUUUGCACAUAGCAAGCACUCAAUCAUGUUUGUUGACUAGACUCUAUGUGAAUUUGUUUUGAAUGUGGGAACUGUUGCUAAAACAACACAUUCAAAAUGUGGAAAACCUCAUUUUUUGAAAUAAAGAACAACAGCAACAAUAAAAAAUACAUACAAAAUACUGAUGACAGUAUAAACUGUAAAAUGUCACAAUUUAGUAUCCAUCCUCAGCUUUCUGCUUAGAAACAUGUGGAAGCAUUUUACAGGCCUGUUAAAACUUUUUGAUCUACUUGGAUGAAAGAUUAGCUAAAAUUUAGCCAUUCUGUUACCACUUUAAAACUAUGAUUUUAUUUUUGCACUCCAAACACUUUUAAGUUACUGAAAAAUGAAUAAUCAAAGAAUUUUGUUUUCUGAAGAGAGAUAGCCUCAUUUUUCUAAGAGGAUCAAAGGAUGAGAAAGCUUUGUUGAAGGUUUCCUUCUAAGAGAAAGUAAAUCUUGGCUCCAAAUUCAUUUUCCAAAUCAGGAAGUAGAAAAUUUUUUCAGGAAAGGAUUGAACUAGGGAAGCAGAAAAAAAAAAUUUUCCACUGGUUAAUUAUUUUGAUAAUUUGGUUCUAAAAACAUUACCAGUAUAUAUAUUGCUAAAAAAAUAUUUUAGUGUCUUAUAUGGUAAGUAAUUCCAUCAUUUAAAAAGCAUGUGGAAAUUGCAAAGCUAAAUAGCAGACAUAUAUUUAUUAUAUUUGGUUCAUGCACAUACUCUAGGGAUAGCUAAAUGUGUGUAUAGUACUCUUUUGUAUCCUCUAUGAAACCUCUCCAAAGCUAUUAUGAAUUAUAUUGUUUAAAUAUGUCCUCACUCAGCUUCAUGAGAGUUAUUCCCAACUCAGUUUCAAACUGAACACAUGUUGCAUCUGUUUUCUGUUUGUGAAUAUUGAAUGUUUGGCACUUUCAUUGGGAUAUUUUUCUUUGGAAUGAAAUAAUUUCAAAUAUUCACUUAAUCAAAACAUCAGUUUCCUUUUCCAGUUUCCAUUGUGGAUUGUUGGUAGGUUUCCCAGACCAGCUCUCUUGUGCUGUGCAGAGGGACCCUCCUCCUCUUGGUGCAUAGGAAGGAACAGAGGGGAAAGGAAACAACAUCUGGACCAUGGGCUUGUCCCUUCUCCACAUCUUGUUCCUCUCUAGAUUUCACCUGACUUGAGGUCUCAUUCAAGUACUCUUGAAGAUUUUAACUGUUUUGUCCUCUUCUGAUUAUUUAUAACUUCCUUUUUUUCUUUUUGAAAAUGUUACUGGGAGCAGAAUAAUUGAAGUUCUGUGAAGCCACUGGAAACUCACUGCUCCCUCUCCUGCCAGUUUCAAUAAAAAGCUUUUUUUUUUUUUUUGAGGACCUAUAUCUUUGGGAUAUACAUGUUUAAGCAAAAUUAACCUGGCAGGGGAGAUACAUUGAGAAGGGUUGAUUGAAGCAGUAAGAGAUUGGAAGGGGGAAAGACAAACUCAGAGGCUCUGGCCACCAUGCAUGGAGGAAAUGAGGAAGAUUACUGCUGUAAAAUUCAGUGAAAAAAAUCCAUGUGCUACUAGGAAAAGCAUGGACUUCAAAAUCAGAAAAAUUGGAGUUGAAUCCCAGCCCAACAACUCAUAAACUCUGUGACUUCAAGCAAGGUACCCAACUUCCUUAAACCUCAUUUUCUCAACUUAUAAAAUGGAUGUGAAAUCAGCAUACAUAAUUGUUAUAAAGACUAAAUUAUAAAGGUUUUUAAAUGCUUAGUGUUUUGAUCAGUUUAAAUUGCUACAACAGAACACCAUAGACUGUGUUAAACAACAAACAUUAUUUUUCACACUUCUAAAGGCAAGGGAGUCUAAGAUAAAGACAUCAAGAGAUUUGGUGUUAGAUGAGGGCCCACUACUUGGUUUAUAGAUGGCCAUCUUCUCACUGUAUCUUCACCUAACAGAAAAAGAGCAAGAGAGCAAUCUGCAGUCCCUUUCAUACAGGCACUAAUCUCAUUCAUGAGGGCUCCACCCUCAUUACAUAAUUAUCUCCCAAAGGCUUCUCCUAAUACUAUCACGUUGGAGGUUAGAAUUUCAACUUACGAAUUUUAUGGGAGGAAAAAAAAUGUUCAGUUUAUAACACCUAGUAUAUAAUAGAUGUUCAAUGUUAAUAUAUGAUUUUAAAUGGACAUAUUUGAGAGAUAUUAUAAAGGAAGAAACAAAUGAAUAAUGGACUGAAUAUAGGAAACCAGGGAGAAAGAUACUCAAAGACGGGGAGGUAACUAGGUUAUUGACACACAUGUUGUAGUUGGGAAAGAGAGUCAAUUUGGAGUAAAAGCUAAUGAAUUUAACAUUGAACACAUUGAGCUUGAAGCAAUGGCAGGAUAUCUGAGUAAAUGUGUGCAGAAUGUAGUUGGAAAUACAGUACUGGAACACAUGUGAGAGGUUACAGGGGGGCUAUGUAUUGGGGUUAGAGAUACGAAUUUUAAAAUCAUGGACUGAGAAAUAAUAUUUGAAUCUAUGAGAACAGACAAACUUGCUAGAGGCAAAUAGCAGAACCUUGGAGAACAUCCACAAUUUAGAGAAAAGCAAAAGAAGUUAGAAGAUCAAUUUUUAAAAACUUAGGAGGAGAUCUAGGUAAGCCUUCAUCCAUGGAAACCAAUGGGAAAUUCUCAAUGAAUGGAUAACUGAUACUAUUACAUUGUCAAUACAUUGGAAAGACCAUGGAUGCCCAUCAAGGGGGAUUUGCUCAGCAAAUUAUAGCACAUCCACAUAAAGGAAAACUAUGCAACAUUUAGAGAAUGGUAGAUCUAUAUUUAUAGACAUGGAAAAUAUUUUAAAACAAAUGGAUUAAAAAACCAUAGGUUAAAGAACACCACGUGUAGAAUGUAAUCCUAUAAAAAUGAAUACAUAAAUACAUAUGGAGUAGGUAGAGAAAGUCCUUAAGAUUGUUUUCUGAGUUCUACUAACAAUUACCUAUGAUGGCAUCCAAGGCGAGUUUUACUUUUUCUUUGUACAUUUCUACAUUGCUUUUUUUUUUUUUUUUAUGAUAAUCAUGUAUCACUUCAAAAACAAAGUAUUUUUAGAAAAGAACGAAUACUACUGAAGUUGGUAUUGUGACUUUAUAUUCUUAUAUUAUCUGUUGGUCCACACUGAAUCCUUUCUGCCACUUGCAGGCCAUUUACUCAGCCUCAGGGUGUUUUUCUGGAGGUUGUCUCACUGAUUGGACCUACCUAGCUCUUUAGUUAGCAUUAGCUGAAGUCACUGGUGUUGUCCUUUGAGGUGCUUUGUGGAGAAAAAGCGUUGUAUGGUCAAUAGGUUAGAGAACUGUGAAUGUGAUACCUCACUUUAAGAGAUCACCAAUCACACUUGCACAUUCAAGUAUCUGUGAAGGUGCUCCUGAAAAUGAACUUGUCAACAUUUAAUCUAAUACUUCUCCAAAUUCUUUGAGCAUGGAGGGAGCUAUUUUCUUGUUUUAUCAACUGCUAACAUACCAUGGAACUAGUAUCUGCAAAGCAGAUUAUGAGAGACAUGAGCUUAAAUGGUGAUCUAGUGCUUUGUUAUGGAUUUUUCAGCUUUUCUUGAGUGAAAUUCAGUUUGACCAGCUAAUACGUGCAGUUCCUAGACUCCCUUGGAAUCUCUCCAAGAGACAGGUCAGUAACCUAAUAUUUCCCUUUGUUCUGUGGUAGGUCUCCAUCAGGCUUAUUUAAUGACAGGUCGUACACUGUCAGCAAGUACUUUAGAGUUAUAGUUUUGGAUCUCUUCAAGAUUCUAGUUGGAAAAAAAGGACAAAAAUACAGAGAAUCCCAAAGUUUGCUUCUUUGUGUAAAUUUUUCAUCUCCAGCUUUCCUCUUAUCUGGAAGUUAGAAAAUGUUAACAAUAUUCCAGUGGUAGAAAGUUAAUCACAUUUUGCAGCCAAUGAGUUGUUUUAAGAAAAUAUCAAAGUAAUGUAUGUUUUCAUUGAAGAUAAAUUGAGAAAUAAAUAGAAGAAAUUUAAAAACAUAUUAAUCACAUCAUACAGAAAAAAAUCAGUUAAUAUUUUGAUUUUUAAACCUCUAGACUCUAUUUAUGUUGAUACACAUAUAUAGAGUCUGAAUCACCACUUAAGCUCAAAUCUUCCAUAAUCUGCUCUGCAGAUAAUAGGUCCCAAUUUUAUUAGCAGUUGCUAAAACAAGAAAGAGUUCUAUUCUCAAAGAAUUUGGGGAAGUAUUAUUAAUAGAUUAAAUAUUGUCAAGUUUAUUUUCAGUGUAUGCAUUUGUUUUUUUGUUAUCAUCUGAACAACAAUGUAGUCACAUUAUACGUUUGUUAUAUAAUCUGCUUUCCCUCACUAAUUAAUAUAUAUAUAAAUAAUAUAUUUCCUUGUCAAGAAUAUAGAUUUACAUUAUAACUUUUAUGGAAU
rnacentral:lncRNA from 1 species